CGGUUCCCACGGCCCCUCCCCACCGGGCCGUCCUCUGCAGACCGACACCUCCUCCAGGGCGCUUUCCGGAGUGUGCCUGCGCUGUGGACUGUCAGGAGAUGCGGCCCGAGUCGGCUAACAGGCUUGGUCAUUUUGGGGAUCUCCUUUCCUCCCUGGAUCCCACCGGCCUCUAUAAAAACGUAGCUACUUCGUCUGGGGGUGCCUAAAACCUGUAAUCCCAGGACUCUGGGAGGCUGAGGCAGGAAGAUCACAAGCCUUUGAGCCCACCCUGGCCUAUUUAGUGAUUUAAAGAGACAACGUCUCAAAAAUAUAAAAAAGGCUGUAGCUGUAGCUCAGUGUGAAGGUCCUGGGUUCAACCCCCAGUACCAAAAAACAAGCAAAGCCUCACUACCUCCAACCUGACCUUUUGCUGCAGACAGUGCUGCUGCUGAAGGAACUUGCUGUAAGUGUGGACUUCCCUUGCUCAGAAAUCUUCCAUGGCUCCCUAUUGCCUGCAGAAGAACAUCUAAACAGCUCAGUCUGCCUUUCAAGGUCCUCUGGGACGGAAACAUGGCAGAGCUGUUGGCGGAUGGGAGCGUGAGGAGCACUGCACGGGUCGCUGUCGUGGGUGAGGAGCCUGGAUUCGCACCCCUCCCGAGGCAGGCGGUCUGGAGAGUCCCAGCAAUCCUGUUCACACGCCUCCUGCACCCGAUGCCAGGGACUUGGCCGUAGCUGGGAUCUCUGCUCACUGCCCUCCCUUUCUUCUUCACCAGAGCUGAGCGGUGUUGGAAGAGGCAGGCUGGCUUUGGCGGAGAAGACUUGACAGGGCGAGGGGGCAGCCCAGCAUGGACCCCUCGGCCACCAGCAUCAGGUGUCACUGCCUCGUAGCCCCAUUCCCCUUGUGCCCUGUGGCCCGGAUACCCACUCUCAGCCACCUCAGGAAGCUGCCUCGUGUCCUGGCCCCUGAAAAUCCUGCUUUGGGGCUCUACCGCCAUGUCCUGUAAAUCUGUCUGCUGCCUUCCCUGGCGCACACUCGGCACGGGGGUGGGGAACGGGGCCAGAGCACCACAUCAGUUGUUCCAGAUGUUCCAGCUGGCAAGGGCCAGGCUCCACAAGGCCAAUGGUGACCAGUAGGAAAGAGGUGGCCCAGUCCCAGGGGGCCUCCUGGACUUAGGACAGUGGAGUCUCCCUGGAGCACCCCUACCCUGCCGAGAUCCUCCUCUUGCUCCUCAGCCUCUUCUGGAAACAACCCCCUCCCCCCUGAGGGCCCUGUGUGCACCCUCUGGUUCUGGAUGGAGGUGGGCUUCUCUGCGUCCUCCCUGCCCACUCCUGGAAUGGUGCCGGGUGCCCAGAAGAUAUCAGUACCUCUUUGUGGAAUGAAGGAAUAAACCAACCA